rnacentral:sRNA from 1 species
AAACUUGUUUUCUAGGGUUCCGCGGCAGCAAAUGGUGGCUGUUGGUCAGGUCCAAGAGAAGACACACGAUGAGCUUCAUCGUGCACACGGAGGGAUAAAAGCCCGGGAGGA